GAUGAACGCUGGCGGCGUGCCUAAUACAUGCAAGUCGAGCGAACAGACGAGGAGCUUGCUCCUCUGACGUUAGCGGCGGACGGGUGAGUAACACGUGGAUAAACUACCUAUAAGACUGGGAUAACUUCGGGAAACCGGAGCUAAUACCGGAUAAUAUAUUGAACCGCAUGGUUCAAUAGUGAAAGACGGUUUUGCUGUCACUUAUAGAUGGAUCCGCGCCGCAUUAGCUAGUUGGUAAGGUAACGGCUUACCAAGGCAACGAUGCGUAGCCGACCUGAGAGGGUGAUCGGCCACACUGGAACUGAGACACGGUCCAGACUCCUACGGGAGGCAGCAGUAGGGAAUCUUCCGCAAUGGGCGAAAGCCUGACGGAGCAACGCCGCGUGAGUGAUGAAGGUCUUCGGAUCGUAAAACUCUGUUAUUCGGGAAGAACAAAUGUGUAAGUAACUAUGAACGUCUUGACGGUACCUAAUCAGAAAGCCACGGCUAACUACGUG
rnacentral:rRNA from 1 species